rnacentral:rRNA from 1 species
GAUGAACGCUGGCGGCGUGCCUAAUACAUGCAAGUCGAGCGAAUGGAUUAAGAGCUUGCUCUUAUGAAGUUAGCGGCGGACGGGUGAGUAACACGUGGGUAACCUGCCCAUAAGACUGGGAUAACUCCGGGAAACCGGGGCUAAUACCGGAUAAUAUUUUGAACUGCAUGGUUCAUAAUUGAAAGGCGGCUUCGGCUGUCACUUAUGGAUGGACCCGCGUCGCAUUAGCUAGUUGGUGAGGUAAAGGCUCACCAAGGCAACGAUGCGUAGCCGACCUGAGAGGGUGAUCGGCCACACUGGGACUGGGACACGGCCCAGACUCCUACGGGAGGCAGCAGUAGGGAAUCUUCCGCAAUGGACGAAAGUCUGACGGAGCAACGCCGCGUGAGUGAUGAAGGCUUUCGGGUCGUAAAACUCUGUUGUUAGGGAAGAACAAGUGCUAGUUGAAUAAGCUGGCACCUUGACGGUACCUAACCAGAAAGCCACGGCUAACUACGUGCCAGCAGCCGCCGUAA